rnacentral:rRNA from 1 species
GAUGAACGCUGGCGGCGUGCUUAACACAUGCAAGUCGAACGAUGAAGCCCAGCUUGCUGGGUGGAUUAGUGGCGAACGGGUGAGUAACGCGUGAGUAACCUGCCCUUAACUCUGGGAUAAGCCUGGGAAACUGGGUCUAAUACCGGAUAGGAGCGUCCACCGCAUGGUGGGUGUUGGAAAGAUUUAUCGGUUUUGGAUGGACUCGCGGCCUAUCAGCUUGUUGGUGAGGUAAUGGCUCACCAAGGCGACGACGGGUAGCCGGCCUGAGAGGGUGACCGGCCACACUGGGACUGAGACACGGCCCAGACUCCUACGGGAGGCAGCAGUGGGGAAUAUUGCACAAUGGGCGCAAGCCUGAUGCAGCGACGCCGCGUGAGGGAUGACGGCCUUCGGGUUGUAAACCUCUUUCAGUAGGGAAGAAGCGAAAGUGACGGUACCUGCAGAAGAAGCACCGGCUAACUACGUG